GACCUACGGGACGCAGCAGUGGGGGAUAUUGCACAAUGGGGGAAACCCUGAUGGAGCAACGCCGCGUGAGUGGAGAAGGGUUUCGGCUCGUAAAGCUCUGUUGGUAGUGAAGAAAGAUAGAGGUAGUAACUGGCCUUUAUUUGACGGUAAUUACUUAGAAAGUCACGGCUAACUACGUGCCAGCAGCCGCGGUAAUACGUAGGUGGCAAGCGUUGUCCGGAUUUAUUGGGCGUAAAGCGAGUGCAGGCGGGU
rnacentral:rRNA from 1 species